UUCACUGGUUAACCUCCUUGAGUCACGGUCGGGGCGGAGAAGACUCGUUCACUCGUUGUCUGUAGUCCGUCGUGACUCGGGUGCCCGGCUCUCUUUCGUCUGCCAAUAAAGUUGUCGGCGCCACGGCGGAAGUGGCUUCUCAUACCGGAGGCAGUCUAAGGGCUCCUCCUCCUUAGAUUGAGCCAGUUGUUGCACAACCGAUGGGAAAAUGAGUUCGGCUCAAGAAGGCCUCCCAGGAAACAGCCCCAAACUGCAUCUAACAGGGUGAUUAGACAUGUAAUAUUGGCUCUAUUGUUUACUCUAUAAAUGACCCAGAGAGAACUACAAAUUUUGAGUACGGGCAUAACAGAUCAAAUGUACAUGGUAUGUUGAAUAGCAUUAACAAAUUUUGAGUAUGGGCAUAACACAUCAAAUGUACAUGGUAUGUUGAAUAGCAUUAACAGUGACGUUAUGAAUAUCAUUUAGACGGGAUCAGUUAGGGCUGCAGCCUGCAUGUCGUUUGAGUCCCCUAUUCAGUGCACCUCUAAAGAACUCAUCUCAGGAUCCUGCAAAGAUUCAGAUCCAGAUCUGAGUGUUAAGGAAGAUGUGAAGAAAAGGGUCAGCAACGUGGUGUCAAAAUCUUGAUUCGUGAGUAGCGAUCAAGGUAGCUAAUGUGACAAACGUUAACUAGACUCAGAAAAAAAAAGUUUCAAAAUGAUUGGAACCCAGAUUGUGAAGAACAAUCAUGAUUUGGAGAAUUCGAUAUCAAACAUGAUGAUGAAGAUCUCUCCUUGAUCAUCCUCCAUUCUCUUGCAGAAUAAAAUUAAAAUUUGAGGGUGAACCCGGUAUAUAAUACCGGCUCUAUUGGUUACUGUUUUCACGGCUCAUAGAGAACUGCGAAUUUUGAGUAUGGGCUUGGCUCAGAGGAACUGCGAAUGUUGAGUAUGGGCUUGGCUCAGAGAGAACUGCGAAUUUUGAGCAUGGGCUUAGCACACAGAUGAACAUAGCAUUCAGCCUAGAUCAGUUAGGGCUGAAAGUAGUUUCAGUCCUCUAUUUACAUCUCUGAAGUACCCAUCUCUGUAUUGUGCAGAGGAUGCGUUUCCUUUCCAGUUCAAGGAUUUUUUUGUCCUCUCUACAGGGAAUGUUGAUCAUCGGCCAUCUUACCAAAAUUGCACCCAGAUUUGGCCCAUUGGAUACAGAUUGGCACGAUAAGUUUACCGGCUCAAUUUUCAAUUUUGAAGUCUGUGAAGGGGACAAUUUUUGUCCCACUUAUAAUAUCUGGAGAUACUCAUGCUCCAAGGUCCCAAUUCCAAUUGGUUCAACAUUACUCACUAGGCACAAAAUGGAACAGCUUAAUGGACAAAGCAAAUUGAGCCAAAAUGAGUUGUACUCAUUAGAAACCGAAGAUGGCGAGAGUUCAAGCACUAAGAUGAUGCUAUCGGAUCAUACUUCGCCUUCUCUAAAAGAUAUGAAGGAUGAUUUGCAGCCUUGUGAGUCUAUUGGUGAGUUUUCUGUUGUGGGAAGGUUAGCAUCACGGGCUUGGGAGAAUGCUGUGAAGAUUUUACUGGAAAGAUGCCACAUGACAUACAAGCAAACAAAUGUAGUUCAGUUCUGCUGUAGCUAUCGUCAUGAUGUGGCAAGCAGUGAUGGAUUGGACAGCUUUGAUUCACUAUCUAGUUUCAGUAGUCUAUGGGGAUUAAUUGAAAUUCCAAGUGUGAUUCGAACCGAAUCUGAGUUUAAAACUUCAGAUGCAAUGCUGAGGAAAUGGUUAGGAAAGGACAGGUUUGGAUUGGAUGCUGAAUUUUCCUUGGAGAUCUUAGAGAAACUUCCUGGGGCGCAUGCCCUUAGUAAAUACACACAUCUGAACAGAAGAAGCCAACAUAUGGAUUCUCAAACACUUAGAAGUGGAUACCUUUUUUUGUACAAGGACAUAUGCUGAACUACCUAAAGGAAUUUGUGAAAGCGGUCAAAGUCCUUUGCUAGAAGAGAAGAGAAAAGAGCCCUUCCCUUUAGGACAGCCAUUGAGUUCGAAGCUGCCUACUGAUAGAGUUGGUGAUUUCAUGGAGGUAUGGAAGUUCAUUUUCCAUUUUAGAGUUCUUCUAGACCUGGAAGAAGAUUUAUCAUUCCAAAAACUUGGAGAUAACUCAUCAACCCAUGGACUGCUCUGAACGAGCUUAUGGGAGAGACUGGACAAAAGGUCUUUGAAGACGAUCUGGUUACGUGCACAGGUUGGGGUCUUCAAGCCUAAACAAGGAAGAAGGGACUAUGAAUACUUCGAUUAUAGUUAUGAGGAUGAAGGUCCUGAGCCAGAGCACUUCUAAAGAAAAUAAAGUUUGAAGAGAAGAGAAAGAAACCUUCAUAAGCUGACUUCUGAUAGAGUUAGCGAUUUCAUGGAGGUAUGGGAGUUCCUUUGCCAUUUUAGAGUUGUUCUAGACCUGAAGAAGAUUUAUCAUUCCAAAAACAUGAAAAUUACUCAUCAACCAAUGGACUUCUCUGAACGAGCUUAUGGGAGGGUCUGGUCUAAAGGUUUAUGAAGACGAUAUGGUUUCCUGCACCGGCUGGGUUUCAAGCCUAUACAAGGAAGAAAGGAUGAUGAUGAUGAUGAAUACUUCGAUUAUAGUUCUGAGCAUGAAGGUUCUGAGCCAGAGCAGGGUAUGGAAAUUCCUUUUCCAUUUUGGAGUUCUUCUAGACCUGUAAGAAGAUGUAUCAUUCCAAAAACAUGAAGAUAACUCAUCAACCCAUGGACUGCUCUGAACGAGCUUAUGGGAGAGACUGGUCAAAAGGUCGAAGAAGACAAUCUGGUUACGUGCAUCAGUAACAUGUUGAGAAAGAUCCAUACCUCACUUCUGAGAAUAAUCAUGGAGGAUCUCCUUGUUAAAGUUACACGUAAUGUUGAUCUCAUUAUUGAGGCCGAGGGAUUCAAACCUAAACAAGGAAGAAAGGAUGAAGAUGAUGAAUACUUCGAUUAUAGUUCUGAGGAGGAAGAUCAUGAGCCAGAGCAGGGUAGGAUGGACACCAAUUAUUUAUAAAGAAAUAAAGUUUGAAGAGAAGAGAAAUCAAUACAACUUGAAAGGUCAACUAAAAAUGUUGCCAUUGACUGCAUGCAGUAGUUCUAAAUCUGCACGAGGAAAACUAAUAGUUAACAUGUCUCGAAUUCUGAGGCAGCUUAAGGCCAUGUUGUUCGAUAUAGAUGCUGCACUCCCAGAUGCAGAGGAUUUCCCUGUUAAAGGUUAUUUGUAACGAGGCUUUGUCCACGCGUUUAUUCCAUAACCAUAUUGAUCAGUGCACCAUGACGUCCAAAUAUCAGGAACAUGAAUUGCAUGCGUUUGAUUUAAAUGUGUCUCUUCAAUCAAGUUUGUUGCCGCUUCCUUGGAAAAAGUAUGGAAUGCACAUAACAGAUGCACGUGUCUCGAAUUUGCAUGUUUAAUGAGACCACACUGUAUCUGUAUGUUUUGCCAAUCGUACAUUUUCUUCCAUGGAGGAAAUGGCAAGACAUAGUGGAACUUGCACAGGAAAAGGAAUGGAUAAGCCAAACGUCAAGGAACCCCUCAUUUACACUCAAUACAGUCUUCAAGAUUUGGCAAGUAACAUACCGGUUGCUGAUCCUGUAUUGCGGUUGUUGGCCUCUACAUCAAAAAAAAAAAAAUCAAUACAACUUGAAGGCCAACUAAAAAUGUUGUCCUUGGCUGGAUGCAGUAGUUCAAAAUCUGCAUGUGGAAAACUAGUAGGUAAGACUAUUCAGAUUGUCAAAGUUACAAUCCUACUAGAGAAUAUGAUAGUAGCCGACUAUUUGAACAACUGGUGGCAUUGGUCAUCCCUCUCGGCUGUAGCCAAUACUUGUACAGUGCUUCUUCCCUUUCUCUACGUAUAUGUACUUUGGGCACUGUCAUCAUGUACUAAAGCCCUUUUCCAUCUCUGAAUUCUAAUGGAAGGGAGUAUCUUCCUAAGGGCAAGGGCCAGGGCCGAUAUUUAUUACAAAUUGAUGGCUCGAGGCCAAAUGACUAAUCGAAAAAAAGAGGAAAGACAGACAACACGUUGAUUGCACAAUCCCUGAAACUGAUGAUGAGAGUCUCAGUUAUGGGAAUAGGUACACAUGAUAUUUUAUUAUGUUUCUUCAAAUGACUUUAGUUGUAGAAAUCAGUUAAGGUAUUAUCCAUUAAAACAUUACAGUCUUCUCUUUUUUUCUAAUUGUAGAACCAUGGAUCUAUUGGCAGUAGAUCUCCUCCACAUUGUUGUUCUUGUGACAAGCCUUUAGGACAGUCUUGAGUUUGAAGCUGCCUUACUGAUAGAGUUGUUGACUUCAUGGAGUUAAUUUUCCA